GACGAACGCUGGCGGCGUGCCUAAUACAUGCAAGUAGAACGCUGAAGAGAGGAGCUUACUCUUCUUGGAUGAGUUGCGAACGGGUGAGUAACGCGUAGGUAACCUGCCUUGUAGCGGGGGAUAACUAUUGGAAACGAUAGCUAAUACCGCAUAACAAUGGCUGACACAUGUAAUUUAUUUGAAAGGGGCAAUUGCUCCACUACAAGAUGGACCUGCGUUGUAUUAGUUAGUAGGUGAGGUAAUGGCUCACCUAGGCGACGAUACAUAGCUGACCUGAGAGGGUGGUCGGCCACCCUGGGACUGGGACACGGCCCAGACUCCUACGGGAGGCAGCAGUAGGGGAUCUUCGGCAAUGGGGGCAACGCUGACCGCGCAACGCCGCGUGAGUGAAGAAGGUUUUCGGGUCGUAAAGCUCUGUUGUAAGUCAAGAACGGGUGUGAGAGUGGAAAGUUCACACUGUGACGGUAGCUUACCAGAAAGGGACGGCUAACUACGUG
rnacentral:rRNA from 1 species